UACGAAGGGGGCUAGCGUUGUUCGGAAUUACUGGGCGUAAAGCGCACGCAGGCGGUGAUCAUAGUCAGAAGUGAAAGCCCUGGGCUCAACCCGGGGAAUUGCUUUUGAUACUGGGUCACUAGAAUCACGGAGAGGGUAGUGGAAUUCCGAGUGUAGAGGUGAAAUUCGUAGAUAUUCGGAAGAACACCAGUGGCGAAGGCGACUACCUGGCCGUCGAUUGACGCUCAUGUGCGAAAGCUGGGGAGCAAACA
rnacentral:rRNA from 1 species